CACUCUUUUCUACUUCUAUUCCAUUCUCUUCACAGCAACUAGAGUGGUUAUAAUGAUUGCUACCUUGCUUGAG
rnacentral:sRNA from 1 species